GGGAAGUGUUAAGAAAAAAUUUGAGACUCACCAGUCUAGAACCGAAAACGAAAUCGAAACCGAUGCCAGAAUCAAUUUGCAAUAAACCGAUGAAGAAGGAG